rnacentral:rRNA from 1 species
CAGUCGCCGCGGUAAUACGAAGGGGGCUAGCGUUGUUCGGAAUUACUGGGCGUAAAGGGCGCGUAGGCGGCCAUUCAAGUUAGAUGUGAAAGCCCUGGGCUCAACCUAGGAAUUGCAUUUGAUACUGUUUGGCUUGAGUUCGGGAGAGGUGAGUGGAAUUCCCAGUGUAGAGGUGAAAUUCGUAGAUAUUGGGAAGAACACCAGUGGCGAAGGCGGCUCACUGGACCGACACUGACGCUGAGGCGCGAAAGCGUGGGGAGCAAACAGGAUUAGAUACCCCCGUAGUCCCUGUCUCUUAUAC